rnacentral:rRNA from 1 species
AUACGGAGGAUGCAAGCGUUAUCCGGAUUUAUUGGGUUUAAAGGGUGCGUAGGCGGUUUGCUAAGCGGGAGGUGAAAUGCCGGCGCUCAACGUCGGAAGUGCCUCCCGAACUGGUGGACUUGAAUGACUCUGCCGUGGGAGGAAUGUGUAGUGUAGCGGUGAAAUGGUUAGAGAUUACACAGAACACCGAUUGCGAAGGCAUCUCACGAAGGGUUGAUUGACGCUGAGGCACGAAAGCGUGGGGAUCAAACAGGAUUAGAUACCCUGGUAGUCCACGCAGUAAACGAAGAUGGCUAACCGCUGGGCUUAUCAGUUCAGUGGCCAAGCGAAAGCGAUAAGCCAUCCACCUGGGGAGUACGACCGCAAGGUUGAAACUCAAAUGAAUUGACGGGG